AGCGUAGGCGGACAGUUAAGUGGGAUGUGAAAUACCCGGGCUCAACCUGGGUGCUGCAUUCCAAACUGGUUGUCUAGAGUGCAGGAGAGAAGAGUGGAAUUCCUAGUGUAGCGGUGAAAUGCGUAGAGAUUAGGAAGAACACCAGUGGCGAAGGCGACUCUCUGGACUGUAACUGACGCUGAGGCUCGAAAGCGUGGGGAGCAAACA
rnacentral:rRNA from 1 species